rfam:Bacillus cibi strain DSM 16189 Contig01, whole genome shotgun sequence.
UUAAAAAAAACCCCGCAGGCAUCCUGCGGGGUCCUUCUGAACCAAAAAAAGCACGCUUUUUUUGGGCAGAAGGCAAAGGGAGAGGAGAAACCGGAGGAAGAACUUAUGGGGAAACGUAAGUCUUCUCCGCGG